CCUACGGGGGGCUGCAGUGAGGAAUAUUGGUCAAUGGCCGAGAGGCUGAACCAGCCAAGUCGCGUGCGGGAAGAAUGUCCUAUGGAUUGUAAACCUCUUUUGUCAGGGAGCAAAGUCACCCACGUGUGGGUUUUGGAGUGUACCUGAAGAAUAAGCAUCGGCUAACUCCGUGUCAGCAGCCGCGGUAAUACGGAGGAUGCGGGCGUUAUCCGGAUUUAUUGGGUUUAAAGGGAGCGUAGGCGGGUUAUCAAGUCAGCGGUGAAAGCGUGGGGCUCAACUACAGCAAGCGGUGGAAACUGAUGAUCUUGAGUGGGCGAGAAGUAUGCGGAAUGCGUGGUGUAGCGGUGAAAUGCAUAGAUAUCACGCAGAACUCCGAUUGCGAAGGCAGCAUACCGGAGCCCGACUGACGCUGAAGCACGAAAGCGUGGGUAUCGAACAGGAUUAGAUACCCGAGUAGUC
rnacentral:rRNA from 1 species